CCCCCCUCCAAAUUCCUCGAAUCUGGCUGCACAAAUCCCUCCUCCUCCAAGAAAGGGAGAAAAAAAAUCCCAUCACAUUGGUAAAAAUAAUAUAUGAGGGGUAGUGGCUCUGGGGGUGGGGAAGGGAGAAGAGACCUUAAAAGGCCCCCAUCUCCCAUGGAUGAGAGUUAAAUAGUUUCAGGAUGGGGCUGCAACUUUCCUUUGCUCUGUUGGAGGGAAAAGACACUGAGCUCUGCUGCUAGGAACCAAAGUCUCACUUUGCUCUUGUGACUUAUCUCGUGAUUCUGGGGGCUUUUAAGACACUUCUUCUAAAUAAAAACUGGCAGACGAAGAGGCAGGACAAUGUCCAAGCACCAGGGACAGUCAGAGAUGGAGAAGAUUGGUUGGUUGGUUGGUUUUUUUUGCUCUAUUUGAGAUCCAAACCUUCAGAGCAGCUGCAGGAGAGGAGACUGUUGUCAAGGGCGCGAGACACAGACACUGCUCAAAGGAGAGCCAUAAACCAAAGGCAAAGGUCCCCGGACAAGGGCCAGGGGCAGAGGGAGAGGAGUGCUUACAGCCGUCCCCUUCCAAUGGAAGUGAAGCAGAAUUUGCUCUCAUGCUUUUUCCCAGCCUGGAUUUCUGGUGAUUCUUUACAAUUAAUUUCACCUCUUUUCCCUACCAAGCUCCAGAACAUGUGAUUAAUCAGAAGGAAAAGCAGCAAGAACAGCAAACCGACGUAUCUAUGGAGUUUCUCUGGUUCUCUGCUGCCAACUGAGGGGCUCUCCCCACCUUCAUGGACGUCCCAGGGAUGUUUCAGAAGCCGAAAAUGCCUCUGGGUGGAAUCAGAAUUCAACUCCAGUCAGUCUGAAAAUCCUGCAGCUUAAGGGCAGGUCGUGAACCGGCUCCCAUUGCAAGGUUUGAACGUUUACAUUCAUGCUAAUUUCGGAGGGAUCUCUCAUUGGGAAAUGUAACCCGGAGAGAGAUGGAAAGAGGGUUAAGAAAAGAAAUGAAACCGUGUCCUGGGAGUCGGGUUGUAAAAAGGCUGUUACCUGGUAGUUUUCAGGCUCAGGCGCUAUAAAGUGACUUUUACAAGGAAGGGUUCUGUUUGAAGGCAUGAGGGCCGUGGGGAACGCGGCAGAAGGUCGGACGGGAGCGGGGUGCCCCGACGGCACAGCUCUGUAGUGCGUGCUGGCAGUGAGCCUCGAGAGGCGGCGGUUUGGGGCUGUUUUGUGUGAUUGCAUCCCCUGCAAAGGGCCGUUGUUUGUCGGGGACUUUUGGGUUAAUCUUUUCCGACCAAGCACAGAUUUUUUUGUUAAAAAACAAAACAACACAUUCGGAGCGAAUCUUCAUUCCUUCUAGCCGAGAUAUCCUGCGCCUCAAUCCUCGACUUUCCCCUUAAAGGUUCUAUGCCUAUUUCUCCUUCCUUUUCCUCCUCCCCAGUUCCCCGACGGCUCUCGGUUCUGGAAAAAGGCUGAGGACAAGUGCAAGGAGAGGGGCCGGGGCUGCUGUCUGCCUUUGCCCCCGGGCGGGGUGGAGGCACCGCGGGCUGCCAGUGUGCAAAGCGAGCCUGGACUUUGGCCCAUAGGGGAAAGGACAGGGACGAGUCUGCACGGAAAAGCCCCCCCGCCUCCCCGAGGGGUCACAGUGCAGGAUCAGACCCUGAAGGAGGAAUUAUAUUCUUUAUUAAUGGAGGAUUUUUGGCUACGUUCCCCAUUGCUGUACAAAAGGCUGUUGAAAGAGCAAGUGGGAAAGCGAUUGGAAGAGAAGAGAGGCAGAAAGGCGCUGAAAUGGGGGAAAACCCCCGACUUCGUAGCACCCAGCUGCUGCAAUCCGGGUGCUGCGCUCAGUCCUGGGAGCAUCGGGAAAGGAGACCACAGAAAAGAGAGCAAAGACCCCUCCGGGUCUCGGAGAGCUUCGAAAAAAGUCUCCUCUCUCUUCCUCUCCAUAUGUAUGAAUUUUCGGUUUAUACCUCUAAUUUCCAAAAGCUUUUAAAUCCCUUCGAUUACCCUUUCUAUAAUAACUGCCCAUUAGUAGCUACUAAAAUCCGCUCCGUUUUAUUUUUUGAGUAUGUGCCGCGAAUACAGAACCAGUUGCGGUUAUAAACCAUCUCCUCCCAUCAUGAGCUUGAACAGAUUUCCAGCACUCCUUUCCCUCAGGCUUAAUUCCAGAAGGAGAUGCGGAUUACUAACGAAGAGAUUGGAUUAAAGAGAUUCUAACGAAGAACCAAUUUUCCCCUUUUUCUUCUCGCUCUCGGCUCGAGCCAUUUUGGAAACGGUGCCUCCAACCACCGGGAACCCGCUGAGUUGCUGUAGGGAUUUGGGGUUUUUAUGUUUGGUUGCGUUGUUGUUGCGUUGUUUGUUUGUUUUUCCCUUGGCAAUUGCAGCCCUGCAGAGGAUUGCGCCACAAAGCGCAUUUUUUUUUUUCUUAGAGACAAAAUGAAUCCCCGGUGAUUGUUAAAUUGCAGUGCGAGGCCAGGCAGCUAAUCCAGUGUAUAAAUCCUAUUCGGAGCAGGCUGGGUGCGGCUUCCUGAGCCGGGCAAGCUCCAGAGCUAACCCCACAAUGGGGAUCUGCGUGUCACCUCCCGGCUCCUCCUUGUGUGUCCCGACGCGACAAGUGGUUUUUCCAUUCCCAAAAGCACCGCAGCCUUAUUGCAUGUAACAUACAAAAUUCCCCUCCCCUGCACGUAGACUUGUACAGCCCGAGGGCAAAUGGACUGCGGGUACGUGAGGAUUUGUCCCAUGGGGCUGCGGGGACAGAGCUGAGCCCUCCCCUAUGGCAAAAGCUUCGGGCUGAGCGCACGCAGUUGGGCUUGGCUUUGGAUUUUUUGGGGAUGGGUUUUCGUGCCUCGGUAUAACCAAGGGGUUUUGUUUCACCUCCGAAAGGGUUUUCUCAAAAUAGCCCCCAUACCAAAAAUGGGGAGGCUGGAAAUAGCGGUGUGAGUAAACGCGUCGGAGUGGAGGAGCGGGGAGGAACAACGGGAAAGUCGGCGUGAGCCGCAGCCGCGCGUCCUCGUAUUAAAAAAUACGCGGCGGCAGCAGCGGCACCCCCCCCCCCCCUCUUCCCCCCCCGCAAAGCGGUGAAGUUUCCCAUUAAAAUUGACACCAGGGGAUGGUCUUAGCAGCCUCGUCCGCCCCGGAUUGGUGAGCCCCGCCGGAAGCCGCCUGCACACGCAUUUUCUAACAGAUAAGUCAAUCGGCAGAGACUUGCCCCCCUCUCCCCCCCCCACCUUAUCCCAAAAUACCGUUUUCGCAAAGCCGGAGCCCACCAGUCACCCGGCAGCUCCCAGCACUCCCCUCUCCGCCACCCACCCUCGGCUCCUUAGCUCUAAAGGAGGGGGAUGAGGGGAUGUUUCCCCCCUCGCACCUCCUUUGGGGGUGCAAAAGGGUCGGCAGCAGCCGGCACCGGGGGUCCCGCACCCAGCCACCCCUCCGGGCCCGCAGCUUCCCCGGUGCCGCAUAACCUCUGUCCUCAGUCGGCUCUGGGAUGACGUGGCUUCGCACCCACCGCAAUUGGGGAUUUCGAGGUGUCCGUUCUGCUGGAGGCUCCUUAUGGACCGGGGGGAAAUAAAAAGAGAAGAUAGGCCUUUUCUUUUUUGUCGCGGCACGAAAUACCGUCUUUAGGCAAGGGUCUAAAGAUGCUAAAACGGCACCAGAAAUCGAAGUCUAGGAAAGGAGUGAGAAAAAUGAAAUAACGCGAAAUCGGCCGGAGCUGGGGAAGGUUCGCUCUAACAAGUGGUGGGAGGAUGCUCUGCCAACGAGUGGGGCUGCCUCUUCUUUAUAUAUUUCCUUGGCUCUUAUUAUUAUUAUUAUUGCUAUUUUUUCUUCGGAGUGGGAGAGUUUGCUUAAAAAGUGAUCUUAAUUAAAAAGAGAAGGAGCGGAAUGGGUAAGUCGGUGCUGGAUUCGGCCUCGCCGAGUGCUGGGGAGGGAGGUGGUGUUCGUAACGUGUUGGUCUUUUUGUAGUUUCCCACGUGUAGAUUCCCGAGAAUACUUAAUGCUUCUCAUCAGCUGCAGCCGUCCGGAUAGAAAGCUGUUGGCUGCUUCUGCGGACGGGCGAGCAGAGCUGAUCGUCUUCCCCCUUCUUUAGCUUCUAUGAUCAUUUCUUCCUCUGUCUUCUCAAAGUUCAAGCUCUUUUUUAAAACAAAGAUCGGGAGCAAAACCGAUCUUUGUUCGCACCUCCACUUCUCCGCACCGUCUGUUGAGAGUUCCGUCUAUUCUCGGUUCCGACUCUUCACGGUUAGCAUCGUUUCUUUGUUUCUGCGUUGGGCUGAAACCCACUUAAUCUGCACCAUCCAGCGGGAAACGAAUCGGGGACUGCAGACACACGGCAGGGAAAUCCCUCUUGGAGCAAAGCUGGGAACUUCUGGAACAAAUCCCCCCCAAUAGCGGUUACCUCUCCUGAUGCCCACCCAGUCAAACCCACUACUAACCACCAUCCGCCCCACGCUUUCCAUCUGCGUGGCUCUUCCAUUCGCAUCGGUGUCCUCUCUUCUAUUUUAGUUUAUUUUCCUCCCCUCUCUGCCGACUCUUAGAGCCCGCUGUGUGGACGGAAGCUUGCUAGGCUUGGAAUUAAAAGGUCAUUUCGAGAGGAUUGCCAAGUCUACGUGCUGGGGGGACUCAGCCUUUUAUGCCGCCAUGUGUUGUCUCCGUCCGCUGCCAUAGGAAAGCAGUUGUGCCGUAAUGAGGUACCUUUAAAUUUAAUUUCCUGCCCCUCCCCUGCUUUAUGGAUUUCUAAUAACAAUGUUGGAAACCGGAGAAGAAACCUCUUAAAGUCUCCCGGACGGAGGGUUUAUAUAAAUAAUGGAAGGUAGCCGAGCUUAAUUAAGUUUUCCAACAAAUUGGUAGGAUAGGAAGAAAUGCGGUAUUUUGUUUAAGGGGACACCCAGAGAAGGAUGCAUUUCUGUUGGGUCUUUCCAUAGAAUUCUUAUCAAUAUUACUCUUCAAUUUAUUCAUUCUUAACUGAUUUUUUUUUCGGAGAUUUAAACGUAAUCCCAAAUAACCUGAAAUGUAUAAACUAAAAAUAAUUAAAAGAUUAAUCGGGGGGAGAAAGAAAGAAAAGAAGACUAAAACUGAGAUUUUUGGUCAGAUUUCCCCAUGAAAAAUAAAAUAGGAAAAAAAAAUCGAAUGAAUUGUUGGACCGAUAAAGUCUUAGCGAAGAGAGAGGUUUAAUGUCGGAUAAGUAGAUGCUCGUAUCCGACUGCAGGUUUGCUGGAAGUGUUUUGCCAACUCCUUUUCUUUAAUGCUAUCCAACGUUUCCUUCUCCCUUUUAAGUGCUGCUGGAUUCUUUCUCGAGGUUCAGCCUUACCCGCUCCACCCAAAGCUCCUGUUGCGACUUAAAGUCUUAUUCGAUUAAUUUAGAAGAUUUGCCGCAUCUGUGGACUAAUUAGAUGAUAUUUCUGUAAGCGAAGCUCCCCUCGCUCUCCCCAUCUCAGCUCACGAUGCCGGGUUUGGUGCAGAGCCCCAGGAUGGGGCUGAGACGGCUCCGAUCGCCCCAAAUUGGGGUCGGGUUUGUCGGGAUCAUUCUUACGUAUUCUCUCGCUGAGCUGUGGGAUCGUUUCGUUUCUGCACACCGUCUGCAUUUCCAGUUCACCCUGCAAAGAUACAGAAUUACUGAGAUAGGUGUGAUCGAUCUCCCCCCGCCUUUUUGUUCUAUUAAUUGGGGUUCUCCGGCACCGGAGGGAUUUUUAUCCGGAUUUUUUCUUUUUCUCCCCGGGGAUUUCGCACAGUUUGGUUUCUCUUAAUUGUGUGGGAAGUGGAUGCUGAGGGAGGGGGCUCCGGGGGGGGCCAAUAUCUCGGGUUUUCUGUCUGACUGCCGCACAGCCCACAAUUCCGGGGGCUGCGGCUCUCCGUGAUCUCAGGACGGAGCCGCACACCGUGAUUUGAGAAUGGGGAGCGGUGAGGGGGGGGGAAGAGUGGCGAAGCAAAGCGUUCAGGCCAGUCCUGAUAGGGAGGGCAGCAGGCCGGGCCGAGGGGUUCCGACUGCCCUCCACUUCGUGUUUUCUUGCUCCGAGGGGAAGUUUUCCCUCGGGAUUCCGCUUCACUUUUUUCUCUGGGGCCGCGUUUGAUGCCACUUCACGUCUAAGCAGGACUCGGGAUCCCUCCUGCCCUUCGGCACCCCUCGCUGCCCUCACUUUCAGGUCCCCACGCUCACCUCGAGCAUUCCCAGCCCGGAAUUUCCGACUUUACAGAGCCCUUUUGCUUGGAUCACGUCUGAGGGCAUCCCUUGGGGAGAGGGCUUCAGAGAAACAGCUUUAGUCGCGACCCUCUUUAAGACAGAAUUUCUCAUUUUUACUCACAAACCUUUCUCUCUUUGCUUUUUCCCUUCUUUCGCUUAAAGUUUGGGGGGGGAAAGAAAAAUCAAAACACAAAAAAAGCUCGGUUAAAAUGCUGGUGUUCGGCUUGGCAGAGGAAACAAACAAAGGCCGCACCGCGGAUGGCAGCGCUGGUGCGGAGGUAGCGCGGAGCGGGGGCCGAUCCCGGCCAGCGAGCGCCGCCCUGAGGCCACGGAGCCGACGGACCCCGACGGGGGAUGCGGGGAAUGGGGGGAGGUGGGGGGGAAACACUGCUGGUGCUGCGCUAAGGGGUUAAAUGCAGCCCCAGCCAACGGAGGGCAGGGACUUAUUAAUAAUUCUUGUUUAUGGUUUAUUGCCGGAGUACGAACGAUUCAAGCAUUCACAUCUAUAUUUCCCCCCCCCACACACCAACGUGUCCUUCCCCCCUCACCCCUUUUUUUUUCCUUUUGCAAUGGGUGAGUAAGAAACGUCACAGCGCAGUUUUCUGUUGCUGAGGAUCUUUUUGGUUUGAUGGAUAGGGGGAAGAAAAAAGAGAGAACCCACGCCGAGCUGUCUCCCACUCCCAUGGGACAUAGCGAGGGGGGGGGGGGAGAGGAAGGAAAGAGGGUAUGGGGGCAGUUUCUUCAUCUUUUCCUUAUAAAUGCGACAAGAGCCUCCCUUUCAUAACGUACUCUGCUUGAGAAUAUCCGCGUGACUCCUAAGGAGCGGACAUCAAAUACUCCCAAAUGGAGCUGUGAAAAACAGCUGCUAUCACCAUAUUUUAAUAAAAGUAGGGCUUUGUGAACAUCUAAGUAAGUCACAAAGAAAUCAGUGAUGAGAUCUGGAGACUCGGUGCCAUUUCCCUUAGAUAAUCUGUAAUAGAUUCUUCCGUUAAGUGUGUUUGUAAUGGAUAUAUACACAUAUAUACAUUUACUGAUCUAUGCUCAUGCAAGCGCCCUCCCAUUCCACCCUAUUAAUUAUUUUAGCACUUAUUCCCCUGACAAGCAGAAGUUCUCUUAUUGCUGAGACAUCCAUUUGCUGUCCCAGAGCUCCAACUUGUCUUUGACGUCUAAAUUUAAAAUGUUUUUAAAAACUUUAGCAAUAUCCAGAAAGGGAAAAAUAACCCCCAUUACCUUCAAAUGUGAUUCCAGCCCAAGAAUUAAAGCUAAUCCAUCACCUAUUUGCAUUUUGUUCUUUUUCUUCCUCUUCUGUUUUGCUCUUUUCUCCCUCCCCCUUUUUUCCCUCUCCCUUUUCAACUGAUUGUUAUUUAUUUUAAACCUGAUCAUGAAAUUAAAUGGCACGUGCAGUUUUGUUUUUCAUGCUUAACUUGAGUGGUUUCCCUUAUUUAUGUUUUCAAUUUGCAAUUUUCUAGGGGAGAGGUUGGGGGGCAGAGUGUGCUUCAUCUCCACAUUGCAGCAGUGGAAGCUCAGUUCUAAAUGCAUUCCUGCCUGUUCUGUCUGAAGGAAAGAGCUUUUAGCAUUACGAGUUCAAGUGUGACUGUGACUUUGGUUUUAGGAAUUGUAGACGUAGUGUUACACUUUUUUUCUUUAAUUAUUCGUAAUAUUAUUCCUCUUCGUGGGAAGUAGAAAAUACUCAAAGCAUUGCAAUGGCAUGUGGAUGUGAUAGAAAUAACUAUAGUGGAUGGUACGUGUGCAUGACUACAAACUCGACCUCAGGAAUGCAGUGCUAGAGGUUCCGAAUGUAGACGUAAUUAAAGUUUCCUUGUCAACUCCAUAAGAGUUCAUUCACAGAUUCGAUUUAUUUAAACUUGGUCCUACAUAUAGGACCAUACAUUGUGCCAAAAUGGUGAGAAAGAGGCCGGGGGGGAAGAUUAAUCAUAAAGUAAUAGAAAAAAUGCAUACAAACUUCUCCUGUACCAAAGACUCCGGGUCAGACGAUCUUUUCCCCCCUUUGGGAGGCUCUAACCUCCCAACACGAAAAUAAACACCCGGGCUCCACAAUUCCCCUCCUCCAGAUGAGUUUUUCCCUCUUCCUAUUCUCUUUUAAAUGUCUGUCUGUUUUUUUGUUUGUUUUCCCGGGGGGAGUUCCCUGCAGGUUUGUUGUGUUGGAUUUGAGUUGGCGGUGUUGGGUUUGGGUUGAUGUUGAGUUUGGUUUAUGUGCUGGGUUUGGGUUGGUGGUGUUUGGGUUUGGUUUAUGUGUUGGGUUUGGAUUAUACGUUGGGUUUGGGUUGGUGUUGGGUUUGGUUUAUGUUUUAAGUUCAGUUUAUGCGUUGGGUUUGUGGUGUUGUUGGGUUUGGUUUGUAUGCUGGCUUUGAGUUGGUGUUGGCUUUGGUUUAUGUGUUAGAUUUAGUUUAUACAUUGGCUUUGGGUUAUUGUUGGGUUUGGUUUGUAUGCCGGCUUCAGGCUGGUGUUGGAUUCGGUUUAUGAGGUUUAGUUUAUACGUUGGGUUUGGGUUGGAGUUGGCUUUGGUUUAUGUGUUAGGUUAAGUUUAUGCGUUGGCUUUGGGUUGGUGUUGGCUUUGGUUUAUGUGUUGGAUUUUUUUUUCCUGAUUCCUCCCCGUCCCUCUCCUCCCUCCGACGUGGUGUAAACUGUUUGAAGUUCAACAACACGGCAAAGUUUUAUUGUAUUUCCGGCACAAUAGAUUUAUAUGCGGUCCCAUCCACUCCUUUAAGUGCUUCUCAAAUGAAAUGGAGCUAAAUUAUUGUCGACUUUCUGGCUCCUGCGUGCAUCUCUUCAUCCCAGAGAAUUCGUUCUCAAUGAACUUUUUAAUCUCCAAACUCGUUCUUUGGGGGCAGUUGCCCCAUUGUUUUCGAGCCCCUAUUGAUUCCCUCCGCUCACUCCGUUUUGUUAUUUAAUCCACUUGAGGAUUAAAUCCGAAUUUACAAGGUAAGCCUUCGACUUUAUUUUAUACGUAUAUCAAUUAUGUGUGUACAUAAGCGUUUGUGACACGAAGGAGCCUGACCCGAUGGGGAUGUAUGGUCCAGACUUUGCUAAAUGGGAAUUAAUAUCUUUUCCUUUAUUUUUUUCCUCUUUCUUCCAAUUUCCCCCUUCGGAAGUCACAGCAAAGCCCUGAGGGCCGCCCGGCUCCAAUCUCCUCUCCCCGGCUUUAAUUCCCCAUUCCAUCACCACUGAGCCAUUCUUUUAUAACACGUUCUUCCAGCGCGGAGUUCACAUUGGGGGGAGGAAAAGACAUCAUAACUUUCUCUGAGUUACUAUUCACACCUCUACAACAGUCACAACGACGCUUUUUCUCUUGCUUUGCUUGAUUUAUAUGUUCUCGCCUUCUUCUUUUCUUUAAAUUAAUCACCCUACGCACACACUGAGAGGAGGGGAAUAUGAAUUAAGAGCUCUUCUAAUUAUUAUUAUGGAACUCUCUGCUUUGACUUCAUUCUCUUUUCUGCCGAUAGUUUCGCAAACGUUAAUGUUUCUAGGUUAUAUAUAUAUAUAUAUAUAAAAUCUAUCUCUGUCUCUCUAUCUCUUCUAAUAGCGUUUUAAUACAAAGCCUCGAUGAAUGGCGUUGAUAUGGGAAGGGCCCUUGAAAUCGGCUUUCCGGAGGAGGUGGGGGAAGAACUUUAGGAAUUUUUAGACUUAUUUUAUUGCCUCGAUAAUCGCUUGUUUCUCAAAGUCAACAGCAUUUUACUGUUUCCUCUGCUCUAUUUGUCAACUAUUUGUAACGUCCUGCGGGAGGGAUCCGCUCCAGACACUGUACAUAGGAAAUCAUUUGAAUAGUCAUUUCGCGAAAUCGUAGGGGUUUUAUUUCGUCUCUGAAAAGGUCCUUUUGUUGCUUUUGUUUCCUAGCAACUGUUUUCUAUUAUAAAAGUUCAGAUCGCAGAUGAUGUCAAACAAAAUGGCCGCCCAGGCGCCUUUCUCGGUAAUUUUAGCCUUUGACCCAAGAAUGAACUAGAACUGCUCUGUGAAUUAGGUAGUUUCAUGUUGUUGGGCUUUAAAUUUUAAACACAAGAACAUCAAACUACCUGAUUUACUCCAGUUAUCCCCCUCGGUGUGCAGCUGCCCCGGGCAGGAUGGAGGGAGCGGACACGGAGCCCCGCAGUCCCGCACCGCUCCCCGCACCACGCAGCGGUGCCGCUUUCUUUGUCUCAGUUCCCCAUUUCAGGGGACUUUUGGCGAGACAACGACCCAAAUCAUCAAGACCUCAUUAAAGGUCUAAUUAGGCUGCGGCGCCUCUCGGAGGCCAAAAUGCCCCCCCCAGCGGCAGGCAGUCCCACGGCACGAAACCUCAAUAAAGUUGGUGGGUUUUCUUUUUCCGUCGUGUAAAAUACCUACAUAUAAAUCCGCACACAGCUACAAAGUAAUCGGAGGCCGUCUUGUUUUAGUCGCUGUGAUCCACGCCUCCGUGUGAGGGAUAAAAUGCGGCGUUAGGGAGCACAAAGGAGCUGCGUCCAGUUUAAUUAUCCCCAUUGAGAAACUAAGUUUAUUAAAGGCUCUGCUGCUCAUCUCGCAGUGCCUCGGCUUUGUCAUUUCGCUGGCGAUGUUACAGGGAUGGGGGCGGCGAGCGGCUCUGUAUGGCUUUUCCUUCAGAGGUUUAAAUGCCCAGCUUAGCUGGACGUGUAGGAUAUUGAAUUCAGGGCAAUAUUCAGCCGCUGAGGAGCCCCAGCAUCUCGUAGGACACCUCCAGACAAACCCAAGAGAGAAACACCGCUGCUACAUUCACCGAACGAAAGGGUUCGGGUGGCAUCGGGAAGCGCCUCAAUGAUUUCCUCCCCCCCCUCCUUCCCUCCCCCGCCUCACUCCAACGUGUUGCAUGCGGGACUGCGCUCAUUUUAAUGUCUUUUAAGCGCAUAAAAGUCCUCGUGGGGGUGGAGGGUGCGGGGAGCGGUGCGUGUUUGCACGAAGUCCGUCCAUUCCAUUUGGACACUGCGACUUUGUGCUCAGUGUAUGUUAUCGCUCAGCUCGUGGAAGCGAUUUGCCCCGCGUUGGUGUUUGAAACACCCGUAAAAAACAAGUUUCACAUGAUCCAGGCCACGGCUAAACGAGCCUGAGCCUGCGUGUCCCUCCGAUGUUUAGAAGAAUUAAACUUUGAUACGAUAUCCAGGGUUUAACCGCCAUCUGCUGCGGCUGAGAGAUCCCUGGGAAUUCUUAUUUUCCCUUUCUCCUGCAUUUUUUUUCCCUCCCCCCUCCGUUUUGUUAAAACAAAACGAAAACAAACAAACAGAAAACUCGUCUGGGUUUGAGGCCGGCGUGUGCUUUCUGCCCCGAAAGUGGUGACUGUGGCGGACACAUCGCCUAUCUCCGCUAUUAAACAAACAGCCCCUUCAAGGGGAGGAGAGGGAAAGUCAAACAGCGUCAAAUAGCUCGGAGUUUUCUACCCAAUUCAGCAGCCCUGUGACUCCUUCCUUAGAAACAACGCGCUACUUGUGCCCUGCCUCAAAGCCCUUAAACGGAAAAGGACAAUCUGGGAAAGUUAAUCAUAAACUAUUCGGUAAUAAUGUCCCCAUAGGCAACCACUAACCUGCCUUGUAAAUGUCUGGGCUGCUGAUUUUGAUCUCUUUCCUACCCACGUCCAUACAGGAAGCGAGGGCCGGGGAGGAGAGUGGGGAGACGGAGCUGGGGGAGAUCAGAAUCAGGCUCGGGGGGGCUGGGGGGUGUAGGGCUGCCUUCAAGCGGGGACAGAACUCGUUUCGCAGGGAAAGAAUGGAGUGAGAAGGGUACGGGGGAUGAUCCCCUCUUUCCGCAGCUCCGCAGCCGUUUCUUUCUCUUCUUUUCCGAAUUAGAAAGAGAAGAUUGACCUUACCUGGAGAAGCAGCUGUGUGGGGAUGGUGAAAAUCCCCUCCUCGUGGUAACUGCCCCGAUUGCGACGUGAUGCGCAGUUCUGCGCUAAGAGGCAGCGAGAAACUGCUGUUCGUCCAACACAUUUCCCACGAGUUGCUCUCCUGCCAAGGUCCCGUCUGCCCCAUAUCGGCCCGACUCGGGGUGUGUGUGUGUAGGGGGGGGGGGGGGGCAAAAGCGGUGCGGAAAGAGCCCGUCUGAAAGAAUCUCCCCCUUUUCUUUUAUUACUGCACAUUCUUUUAUCGCUGCACGUUUUACAGAAACUCUCCCUCCAGAACUUAAUUCUCGUACCUGUGCCCUUUUCCCACCCUACUGCCUUGCCUCGGUGUGGUGGAGGCAGAUCCCUCCCAGACUUCAGACGAUUUUUGGGGUGGGGGUGGAGGGGUUCCCCACUAUCUGGCGGUGACCCCACAGCAGAUCGUCGCGGGGGACCCAGCAGCAGUAGGGUAUAAAACCCCCAAACCGGCGGCAGUGGGAGCGAAGCGAUCGCCCAGCUAUUGCGUGGGAGCUCGAUAUGAUUUCAUGGAGGGAGGCGAGGAGGGGGGAGGAUUAGUCUGGUAGCUAAAAUGUGGGCUCCUGAACAACAAUCCAACUUUAUUUUAACUUUCUCUCCUCCGGCUUCCCCUUUCCAAAGCGCAUACGCUUUUACUUUACAGGGGACCGAAAUGCUUUAUUAACUGCUGAGAUUACAAACCUCAUUUGGAAUUGUGUUUUUUAGCCGGAGUAUACUUUCGGCUCUUGGAAAAUUGCCCACAUGUGUAACUUGUUUUUGCUUCUCUUCAGACAAGGAAUUCCGCCUCCCCCCCACCUCACCCCCCCCCCUUCUUCUCACCACUUACGGAUUUUUAACAGACGGCCGCAUUCAAACUGAGGGCUAGCACAGGAAAUGGCAAAGGUAGAACCCUCUUCUUUCAGGCUACAGAAACUUAUUUCACAUUUUUUAUUAAAAAAAAAAAAGAAAGAAAGAAAGAAAAAAAAAGGAGUUUUACUCCUCAAGAGGGAUUUUUGUUCCGCUCUCGUGAGUUCGGGGGGGUUUGGGACUGAAGUUUUCUCUCUUAGAUCCGCGUAAAUGCGUUGUUUGGGAAUUAUGAGCGCUUUAAGCUGGGGUUUUAUUACUGUUUCCCCGUUUUAAAAUAUUUCUAUUAUUAUUAAUAAUUAUUAUUAUUAUUUCGGCAUACUUUUCAUAUCCGAAAUUAACGCUCAGCCCUUUGAAGGCUGAGUGAUUUCUGAAUCUGGUCUCCAGACACCCCAUAGCCGCGAGGUUCGCUCUCAGCUGUUAUCCCCUCUUGCAUAUCCUUAUCGCCUUCAAAACCCAACGUGCAAAAGAAGAGUGAACGUAUCCAAGUAACGCACACUGCACACCGCCUCGAAACCGUGAUAGGACCCCCCCCGUCCCAUCCCAGCACAGCAGAAAGCUCCGCACCCCCGGAUCCCCCCCCCACCUCCUUCAUCUCAAUGCUAAAGCAUCUGGAAAAGGAAGGUGCCAAUUCUAAUAAACGAUAACAACUGCCCUUAACAAUAGUAAAAGUGCUUAAAUAUGUUGCCGGCCAAAAAUAAAUAAAAAUAAAUAAAUAGGAUCGUCCGCUCUUUUAUUUUUCUGAUGCCAAAACUUCCACAUCAGCAAAAGAUGGCAGUGGAGCAGAGACCUGAAAGCUGCAUCUUGUGAAGGCGUUUUGUGUUUGGUCGCUGGCGGUGCAGCAAUACCGACCCGAGGAGCUGUUUCUUAAGGAUGAAUUUUUGCAGCUGUGUGUUUCAAAGGGGAGCGCUGUGUGGAAUUGGUUCCCUCUCCCUACAAACAAGAAAGAUUAUUUAUAAACAACAUCUGAGCUAGGAAGCCUCUGGGUUUCCGUUGCAAGCUGACAACACUCCCAGUUUUUUUCCUCACAGGCAAAGAAUACACUUGGCACUGAUUCUGAGAGCAGCAAAAAGUUUCCACUUCGGACUUUUUUUAGGGGGGGAACUGUUUCUAGUUCCACUUUACCGACCAGCAAUAAACCCAUACCUCAAGUGAAGGCAGCCGGUGUGCAAAGCGAGCACAGCUCGCACACCCUGGCUGCUCUAACCCAAAAACUCAUCCCGAAAUUGACUCCCCGAGGUCCCUUUCUCCCCGGCUUUUCCUCCUCUGAGUUUUUUGUUUUUUGUUUUUUGUUUUUUUUUUUUUUUUUCUCAAAGAGAAGAGCCUUUCAUACCAUUUCUUUCGGGGUCUAUUUGAGGCUUUCAUGUAUGAAGUCACAGGAAACAGACAGCACCACGCGAGCGGGGCUCCCAGAUCUGGGAUGGAGCGGCUGCUCGCCUGGAGUCCCUCUCAGCAAAGGUUACAAAGAGAUGAGCUAUGGGAAUAUGCAUCAAAAAUAAACUACUGAACAAACGGAAACCUCCAGAGGAGCGAAAGCAAAUGGAUUUGGCAGAUCAUCUUGUGAGGUUUCCAUCCACCAGGGAUCUGAGAACUCCUGCUCUUUGCCUCACAGCCACACUCCUAAGAGUCUUCUUGGUCUGAAUUUAUAUACUACAGAAGAUUAUAUACUCACAUGCUGACACAGUUCAUCAUUAUUUAUAGGAGGCGCACCAGGAUUUUUUUUUUUUCCCAAGAAUAUAUUUAUUACAGGUAAGACACAGCCAAUCUAUCUAGCAAACAGAGAACAGGUGUUUUGCUUCAAUUAACGUUCAAUAAUUUUAUCUAUACUUAUUCAACACCCCGAUGCCAACACGGCUGUUUAUCCAUCACUUGUAUAAACACAUUUCCACGAGCCAGGAGAGUUUAAUCUCCAGAACUCGCUUAAAUCAGCCCUUCCCUUUUCCAAGCUCUCAUAACAUUUUCAGAGUCCCUCCGAAUCUGUUGUGAAAUAGGCUGAUGUAAUAAAAAGAGUAAAGUCUGGAAGGCAAUAAAGCGGAGGACGAUGGCAAUCCGAGCAAGCAGCUCGCAUUGCAUGGCUGAUGACACGGGAUCCCUUAAGUUCAAAAACUCCGUAACGAGUUAAAGGGAAGAGCAAAUAAGAGUAGUUGGGGAAAGCAGGAAUUCCUCCCGUCGCUCGCCCUGGUCUGGGAGAUCAGCGAUCCUGCCCCACGCUGCUCACUUGUAGGGAUUUCUCUGCCUUCCCCAGUUUAAAUGCAAAGGGAUGAAGUGGGGUUACUUUGGAUGCACCCCACAGAAAGGAUAGGAAGGUUUGUCGGGCGGUGAGGACUCACCUGGUCACAUUUACUCGCGACGGUCUUUGCAAGAGCUUAACUCAGAGCUCACCUUGGCUGGAGCCCGAGACUGCCUCUGCUCUUCCAGACCAGGGAGCGUUUUGCUCUGGCUGGGGGUGGGGUGGGGGGGCUCUUAUUACCCUGAUUGAUGUAAAAAUUAAAAAUAAAUCCGAUCUCCGGCACUGGACUCGGCUCUCUCUGCCCAUCAUCCCGACCCUCUCGAUUAGUUCUGUUUUUAAAUGAAAAUGGACAGCUUCUUCCCAGCGCCUCUUGCAGAGGGUCUCUGCUUCUCGAUGCGGGGAAUUGUCCCUUCAUCACGCUGCGGGGCAUCGAAAAACACCGCUGAUGGGAAUAAGGGAGAACCUAACAAUUUGGGUGUCGGGUUUUUAGCGCCUUAAUGAUCACCCCGUAUCAGUAUAACACCUCUGAUAGUAAAUUCAUACAUAGGUUUUGUACAGACGAGCACAUAGGAGUCAUAUACACACACAUACGGUAUCACAAGAGAGAGAUGCGAAAUACGCUUUUCCUUGAUUUCAGGUGGCUAUUAGCACCCUCCGAUGUUAUUAUUAGCCCGUUAAUACAGGCUAUAUAAUACUUACAUCCCUAUAUACCUCAGGAAGGAUUCGCGAUGAUUUAUCAUUCCUAGAAAUCUCUUUGCCCUUCACAUUAAAUAUCCUUCUGUGUUGGGGUGAGAGGAAGAAGGGCGGAGGGGCAAUAGAUUAAAGGAGGCGAAUUGAUCCAGACUGUUACAGCUGAAGUCCAGAAAACACUUUUGCCCUAAUCACACCGCGCACCUUUUCCUUAACCAACAUUUACGACGCCAUCAGAUCAUCUCGCAGUAAACGCAUUUGUCAUAAUAAGUCGGGAAAACUGACCCCGUUACCCCGCAUCGCCGGGCGGGACCCGCACCGAACCGGAGCCGCGCGUCAAUCAUCGCGUCCAGGGCUGGAAAAAAAAAAAAAAAAAAGAGAGAAAUAAAAAUUAUAAUUCUAAUUAAAAUGAAG
ensembl:lncRNA